rnacentral:rRNA from 1 species
CAGCAGCCACGGUAAUACGUAGGGAGCUAGCGUUGUUCGGAAUUACUGGGCGUAAAGCGCACGUAGGCGGUUAUUCAAGUCAGAGGUGAAAGACCGGGGCUCAACCCCGGAACUGCCUUUGAAACUAGAUGACUGGAAUCUUGGAGAGGUCAGUGGAAUUCCGAGUGUAGAGGUGAAAUUCGUAGAUAUUCGGAAGAACACCAGUGGCGAAGGCGACACACUGACUCACUACUGACGCUGAGGCGCGAAAGCGUGGGGAGCAAACAGAAUUAGAUACCCGUGUAGUCCCUGUCUCUUAUAA